rnacentral:rRNA from 1 species
UGGGGAAUGAUUGCACAAUGGGCGCAAGCCUGAUGCAGCCAUGCCGCGUGUGUGAAGAAGGCCUUCGGGUUGUAAAGCACUUUCAGCGAGGAGGAAGGUGGUGAGCUUAAUACGCUCAUCAAUUGACGUUACUCGCAGAAGAAGCACCGGCUAACUCCGUGCCAGCAGCCGCGGUAAUACGGAGGGUGCAAGCGUUAAUCGGAAUUACUGGGCGUAAAGCGCACGCAGGCGGUUUGUUAAGUCAGAUGUGAAAUUCCCCGGGCUCAACCUGGGAACUGCAUUUGAAACUGGCAAGCUAGAGUCUCGUAGAGGGGGUGAGAAUUCCAGGUGUAGCGGUGAAAUGCGUAGAGAUCUGGAGGAAUACCGGUGGCGAAGGCGGCCCCCUGGACGAAGACUGACGCUCAGGUGCGAAAGCGUGGGGCAGCAAACAGGAUUAGAUACCCUGGUAGUCCACGCUGUAAACGAUGUCGA